GGAGAGGUGGCAGAGCGGUUGAAUGCACCGCACUCGAAAUGCGGCAUGGGUGCAAGCCCAUCGGGGGUUCGAAUCCCUCCCUCUCCGCCA
rnacentral:tRNA from 3 species